rnacentral:misc_RNA from 1 species
GCAAACUUGGUCAUUUAGAGGAAGUAAAAGUCGUAACAAGGUUUCCGUAGGUGAACCUGCGGAAGGAUCAUUAACGAAUUUCGUCGGGGACGGUGCUGGCCCUCGGGCACAUGCACGUCCCCUUCAUUUUCCACACACCUCGUGCACCAUCUAGGUGGCUCUCCCGACGGAAGCCACCUGCCUUUUUCACAUGCGCCUUUUCAUGUAUAUGGGGAUGUAUUGCAUCGAAUGUAACAACUUUCAACAACGGAUCUCUUGGCUCUCGCAUCGAUGAAGAACGCAGC